rnacentral:sRNA from 1 species
UGCAUCCAGGUAUCCGACGCUACUACGACCACAUACCUUCUUAAGCCACAAGGCUCGCCAACCAUGCCAUCAAAGAGUUGAAUUUCUUGUCGUACCUUAUCAAUAAGAACAAACACACUCAGAGAUAAAUUGAAACCCCCUAGGCACUUUUGAUAUGGAAACUUCUAUUGUUGCCUCCACUGCCUGGUAAAGGUACGCUAAAGUGAUGUCAACUGCGCCACAAUUGCCACUAACGCGACUUGUCAUUGGUCUCAUUGCUGGUGUUGUUAUCUGGCUGUACUCUAAUGCUCCAUCAAUCAGUUCUAGAUCAUCCUCUUCUCGAUCUCCUUUUUUUAUCCUCAUGUCAAACUCAGAACAACAGAACAAGACAUCGAAAUGCCUCGCUUAGGGCCAAUCAUUUCAAUGCAAGAACCCUGUGAAAUUAUUAUAAAUUAUCAUUUAGUAUAUUUUCAUAUUAAAUUUCCAAUAUUUUAAACUAAUAGCUUGGUUUUUAUAAGAAUGCAAGGGAUAUCAAAUAAAUGAUGGCGUAAACUACAGGCUCUAAAAAUUGACAACUUGGUGUUUUGCUAUGACACAUAAGUUGGUUACACAUGAAAUUCGAAGUGUUAAUUUUAGUAUGUUUUGUCACCUGAAAGAUGCUCAUUCACAUAGACAAACAUUCUUGUAUAAGAUCCUCCAAGGGACAUGUAUUUGAAGAACCCAUCCACAUAAGAUCUUCAGAUGCAUUGGGAGAGAAGAAAUAAAAGGAUAUUUUUAUAACUCAAACAUUUUUAUCCUCAGAUGCAUUAGAGAAAAGAAAAGAAACAUAAUUUUAUUGUACAGACUCACUGUUGUACUCUUAAAUGAUUAUGGGUUGACGAAACUCUCAUGCUUGUUUUGUCUAGAAAACCUACUGUUUACUUAAUACAUCAGUCAACAGUCAAUGUCAAUACCAUAAUAAUACUCAUCCUGAAGAGACAUGAUUUGGUAUCAUCGUUAUUUACAGUUCAGUUUUGCUGCCAUAACACAAAAAUAACUAGGGCUAGAGUAGGUCGAUAUUCAUGCAAUAUAAAAUAUAUAUGACAAAUCAACAAAAGCCUAUAUUUAUUUAUUAACAUAUAAGACUAUUUAAAAAUAAAACAAAGAAGAUAACACAACAUUCUAUUUAUUCACAAACUUGCAUCAUAUAAAAGAGAUUAAAUAGCUGUAGUAUUCCACCUUUCAUUCCAAUUUUUAUGAUUUAAAGGAGAUCGAGUGAUUGUAGUAUGCCACCACAACAUAUAUUUUCCGAUUCGGUUUAUUCAUGAGAUUAAAUUGGACUUGUGUAGAAUUAAAAGAGUAACUAAAAUAAUUGCAUAUGAGUGUAGGAUGUGCACCUGCUUCACGAUGAUGGGAUCAUCCCUGCUACGAUUCACAACAUAAUUAAGCAUUGAAUCAAGAUGAUCUCUCACUGCUAUGUACCCAUAUAUCUGUACUGGGCCACUAUACAUAUGUAUUUUAGCCAACUUAAUUGAGAAAAUUUGCAUCAUGCGAGUUGAAAAAUGCACAGUGCAUGUAUCCCUAUUAGGUUGACAGUCCAUAGGUUGUGAAAGCAUCAUCGGCUCCAAGCAAGCUUCACCAAAGACAACUAAAUUAAUACAUUUGGCAAAUGUUUGUUAUAAAAA